AUUGAACGCUGGCGGCAUGCCUUACACAUGCAAGUCGAACGGUAACAGGUCUUCGGAUGCUGACGAGUGGCGAACGGGUGAGUAAUACAUCGGAACGUGCCUAGUAGUGGGGGAUAACUACUCGAAAGAGUGGCUAAUACCGCAUGAGAUCUACGGAUGAAAGCGGGGGAUCGCAAGACCUUGUGCUACUAGAGCGGCCGAUGGCAGAUUAGGUAGUUGGUGGGAUAAAAGCUUACCAAGCCGACGAUCUGUAGCUGGUCUGAGAGGAUGAUCAGCCACACUGGGACUGAGACACGGCCCAGACUCCUACGGGAGGCAGCAGUGGGGAAUUUUGGACAAUGGGCGCAAGCCUGAUCCAGCAAUGCCGCGUGCAGGAUGAAGGCCUUCGGGUUGUAAACUGCUUUUGUACGGAACGAAAAGCCCUGGGUUAAUACCCUGGGGUCAUGACGGUACCGUAAGAAUAAGCACCGGCUAACUACGUGCCAGCCGCCGCAGUAA
rnacentral:rRNA from 1 species